UUGUUUUAGAGUAUAAAUCCUUUACGAUUAUUAUUCACCAUUGGGUGCUUGGAUUUUAGGAAAUAUAGAAUUUUUUUUCAUUAUUAUUAUUAUUAUUUUAAUUGCAUUUUGGUGGAGCAAAAGCAUUGCACGAAUGAGGUUCGCGUUGAGUAUGAAGAGUUCAAGACUAAUGUCACGGGGUUGUUCCUUCCUAUUCAUGCUGGAACUGUGAUUCUCAUCAGGAAACCAAUGCCUGAAGCAGACACUUUUCAGCUGGCCUUCAUCUUAUGUGGUGCUAGGUGGGCCAUUUCUUCCACAUAUUGUGCAUAUUCUUCGUGAUAAAGCAUGUUCUAUGUUUGCGACUGUAGUAUCUGCAUGUGAUCUUGGAAAUAGAAAUGCAAUAAAGGGCUUGAGCAAUUUAUAUGGCAAACAUUACUAAUCUUGUGAUAUAGUGAUUCAAAUUGAAGACUUUCAACAGGUCAUUGAGUUGUUUGAUGUAAAACUCUCAAUGCUUGGAUCUCACCAACUCCAAAAUGCUGCAACUGCCACUUCACAUACCAAGGAAUUUGCCAAAGCUUUGGCUGAUACAAUUCAGAUGGCAUUUUCGAAGGCAAAAUUGGUUCUUGUGGUUGCAAUGGCAAGUGACAAAGACCAUUUGGGUUUUUCCAGAGAACUAUUUUCAGGUAUGUUUUUAUCAUUUUCUCUAUCUCUC